rnacentral:sRNA from 1 species
CCAUAAACUGUACAGCUUUGGUCUACCACACACAGUCAAUCAUCAUGGUACUCAGGCCUCAAAGCACCAGAUGAGCCAAAUGUGGACCAAGGUCUCCAAAACUAACCACGGAGAGGGAAAUGGAAGAGACCGAGUUGCUGAAAAUUUCCCAAAGAUCCACAAAUUUGCCAAAGUGAAGGAUCCAGGACUAUCCAGGUUAGAGUCAAUAGCCUGGGAGUCCUGCAGUUGAGCAAGAGAAAGACGUGGCCCAUGAUUUUUGCCAAAACUCCAAGGGAAGGCAAAGAAAAGGGAAAAGGCUAUCAUUCCUCAGGCAGAGUUCAACAGGAAGAGAAAGCAAUGUUCUCUGCACAUGAAGUUCCAGGCUGACAUGAGAGUCCUUCAAAAUGCUAGCCACAGGACUUUCCUGAACACAUUGGAGUUUCAUGGGUUUGCCAUAUCAUAAAGCUAAUUAGGCCCAGGCAGAAAGAAGCUCAACAUUCCAAAACCCAGCUAGUUUCUUUAAGAGGUACUGAAAAUUGAACACAAUCCCCUGCUUGUGAGGACUCCUAAGUGAACCCUACAGCUGUCAUUUAUUUUGUAGCAACACCACCACCACCACUACCACAACCAGCACCGCCACCAACAACGACAACAAGAAAAGUAAUAUAAAAAGCCUGUAAGAACCAUGUCAUUUCAUUAUCUCUUCGAUCGUGGUGUUCUCCCCUGUGUCUGUCUGUAAUCCACACAAAUGACUGGACUGAGAUUCACAGCUGAUGGUCUCUCUGGUCGUCUCAUAAUUCUUGGACACUGCUGAUCUGCAACCAAUGUGCACCAUUAUCUAAGGCCAACUUUAAGUUCUUCAAGUUGGAUUUUGCUUCAUGUACACCUGGAAGAGAAGGUGUUUACCAUGGCAGGAGGCACAUUUCCCUGAGACAGGCUGACUGAGUUAAAGACCAGAGACUCUAGUGCUAGACUUGUAAUUCUGAGUAAAAAUUCUGGUUCAGAAUGCACAAGAUACAAUUCACAGACCACAUGAAGCUCAACAAGAAGGAAGACCAAAAUGUGGAUGCU